UUCAUCGCCAGUGACGUUGGCUCUCGCUCGGAAUUGCAGGAUCUGGCUUCGGUUAGUGUUCUGCGUCUGUAGCGUUGUGUCCGGCGUCGUCGGCGUGCACUUCUCCCCUAGUAGGACGUCGCGACCCGUUGGGUGCCGGCCUACGGCCUAGUAGGUUGACUGAUGCGUCGCGUUCGCGCGUUCCCGCGUCAGACACCGCUGGAUGCCCGGCCGGCUGCCCGGCGGUAUAGAAUGCUUUAACACGGUAAUGAGCCGCACUCUAAGUGCGUCCGGCUCGUCGGCAGGCUCGCAUCGUGCGGAUUUACGGACCUGGUGCCGUUGCCGUUACGCUGUGUGGCUGUUAGUCGACGAUGUCCUCGGACUGGCUCGACACAUUCGAAAGGAUAUACCGGUCAGCGACGCUACUGCUUUGGGUACUUUCAGGACCCGUCUUGAAACACGGACCAAGGAGUCUAACAUGUGCGCGAGUCAUUGGGACA
rnacentral:rRNA from 1 species